rnacentral:rRNA from 1 species
AUACGUAGGGGGCGAGCGUUGUCCGGAAUGAUUGGGCGUAAAGGGCGCGUAGGCGGCUUUGCAAGUCAGUAGUGGAAGUCCAUUUUUCAAGGAUGGAAGUGCUACAGAAACUGCGGAGCUUGAGUGCAGGAGAGGUUAUCGGAAUUCCCGGGGUAGCGGUGAAAUGCGUAGAGAUCGGGAGGAACACCAGUGGCGAAGGCGGGUAACUGGACUGCAACUGACGCUGAGGCGCGAAAGUGUGGGGAGCAAACAGGAUUAGAUACCCUGGUAGUCCACACUGUAAACGAUGAAUGCUAGGUGUAGGAGGUAUCGACCCCUUCUGUGCCGCAGUAAACACAGUAAGCAUUCCGCCUGGGGAGUACGGUCGCAAGAUUAAAACUCAAAGGAAUUGACGGGG